rnacentral:lncRNA from 10 species
CUCCUGCAAUUCUAUUACCUGUUUGAAUGUGAAGAUGGGAUGAAGUAGCAAGAAGGACCUCACAAAAUACCUCCCCCACCACCCCAUCAUCUUGCACUUUCCAGUCUGCAGAACUGUGAGAAAGAAAUUUUUAAAAUUAUUAUUAUACUUUAAGUUAUAGGGUACAUGUGCACAAUGUGCAGGUUUGUUACAUAGGUGUACAUGUGCCAUGUUGGUUUGCUGCGUCCAUCAACUCGUCAUUUACAUUAGGUAUUUCUCCUAAUGCUAUCCCUCCCCCAGUCCCCCAGCCCCUGAUAUGCCCCAGUGUGUGAUGUUCCCCUCCCUGUGUCCAUGUGUUCUCAUUCAACUCCCACCUAUGAGUGAGAACACACGGUGUUUGGUUUUCUGCCCUUGUGACAUUUUGCAGAGGAUGAUGGUUUCCAGCUUCAUCCAUGUCCCUGCAUAGGACAUGAACUCCUUUUUUAUGGCUGCAUAUAUUCCACGGUGUAUAUGUGCCACAUUUUCUUAAUCCA